rnacentral:misc_RNA from 1 species
AUUCUACCCAAAAGAAGUCUUUCUUUUGGGUUUAACCAGGAU